rnacentral:rRNA from 1 species
AGAUUGAACGCUAGCGGCAUGCCUAACACAUGCAAGUCGAACGGUAACAGGCCCUUCGGGGUGCUGACGAGUGGCGGACGGGUGAGUAAUGCGUAGAAAUCUACCCACGAGUGGGGGAUAGCCCGGAGAAAUCCGGAUUAAUACCGCAUAUGCCCUGCGGGGUAAAGCGGGGGAUCUUCGGACCUCGCGCUAAGAGAGGAGCCUACGUCCGAUUAGCUAGUUGGCGGGGUAAAGGCCCACCAAGGCGACGAUCGGUAGCUGGUCUGAGAGGACGACCAGCCACACUGGGACUGAGACACGGCCCAGACUCCUACGGGAGGCAGC